rnacentral:rRNA from 1 species
CACGUAGGGUGCAAGCGUUGUCCGGAAUUAUUGGGCGUAAAGAGCUCGUAGGUGGUUUGUUACGUCCGCUGUGAAAUCCUAGGGCUUAACCCUGGGCUUGCAGUGGAUACGGGCAGACUAGAGGUAGGUAGGGGAGAAUGGAAUUCCUGGUGUAGCGGUGAAAUGCGCAGAUAUCAGGAGGAACACCAGUGGCGAAGGCGGCUCACUGGCUCGGUACUGACGCUGAGGUGCGAAAGCGUGGGGAGCAAACAGG